rnacentral:tRNA from 3 species
GCCGGUGUAGCUUCAAUUGGCAGAGCACCGCAUUCGUAAUGCGGGGGUUGUCGGUUCGACUCCGACCACCGGCU